rnacentral:rRNA from 1 species
UACGUAGGGUGCGAGCGUUAAUCGGAAUUACUGGGCGUAACGCGUGCGCAGGCGGUUCGUUGUGUCGGCGGUGAAAGCCCCGGGCUUAACCUGGGAAUGGCCGUCGAAACUGGCGAACUGGAGUGUGGCAGAGGGGGGUGGAAUUCCGCGUGUAGCAGUGAAAUGCGUAGAGAUGCGGAGGAACACCGAUGGCGAAGGCAGCCCCCUGGGCUGACACUGACGCUCAGGCACGAAAGCGUGGGGAGCAAACAGG